CUGGGAUGAUGAUGAAUUGAUUUUGACAAUGUCUUCUGAAGCAUUAAUAAUGCUAAGUGAUUGAAGAAUUAUCCUCCUACUCAUUCUGA
rfam:Helianthus annuus linkage group 2, whole genome shotgun sequence.